GAAAUGUUGACUUUCUAUAAAUCACAACCUGGCAACUGGGCUCGUCCAUUUUCUGUCAUACUCAGGGGUGAUGCAGCAAUUGGAGAUGGCGUUAAACGGUACUUACUGUCUCAAGUUAUUUCACGUGUGCAGUUUGGGUUUGCCCUAGAUUUUGACAACUGUGGCAAAACCUUAUUUUUCACGGGUAAAGAAGAUCAUUUGGUGCCAUCAACCUCUCGGACUCUUCUGGAUAGCGAUCUUUUUCGCACCGUUGGACGAAUUAUUGGCCAUUCAUUCAUUAAUGGUGGUCCCCUAUUGACUGGACUUAGCCCUGCAAUGUUUGAGAUAAUAACUGGACAAAUGAAUGGCAUACUUG